rnacentral:rRNA from 1 species
CAGUCGCCGCGGGAAAACGUAGGCGGCAAGCGUUGUCCGGAAUUAUUGGGCGUAAAGGGAGCGCAGGUGGGACGGUAAGUCCGUCUUAAAAGGCAGGGGCUCAGCCCCUGUAAGGGAUGGAAACUAUCGAUCUUGAGUGCCGGAGAGGAAAGCGGAAUUCCCAGUGUAGCGGUGAAAUGCGUAGAUAUUGGGAAGAACACCAGUGGCGAAGGCGGCUUUCUGGACGGCAACUGACACUGAGGCUCGAAAGCCAGGGGAGCGAACGGGAUAAGAUACCCGCGUAGUCCCUGUCUCUUAUACA